rnacentral:rRNA from 1 species
GUUGAACGCUAGCGGGAGGCCUAACACAUGCAAGCCGAGCGGUAGAGAUGCUUUGGAUCCUUGAGAGCGGCGUACGGGUGCGGAACACGUGUGGAACCUGCCCUUAUCAUGGGGAUAGCCUUCCGAAAGGAAGCGUAAUUACCCCUUACAUCCUUAGUGGCAUCAUUAGAUAUCUUAAGCCUUGGCGCUUUGAGAUGGGCACGCGCAAGAUUAGAUAGUUGGUGAGGUAACGGCUCACCAAGUCGAUGAUCCUUAGGGGGCCUGAGAGGGUGAUCCCCCACACUGGUACUGAGACACGGACCAGACUCCUACGGGAGGCAGCAGUGAGGAAUAUUGGACAAUGGGUUAGCGCCUGAUCCAGCCAUCCCGCGUGAAGGACGACGGCCCUAUGGGUUGUAAACUUCUUUUGUACAGGGAUAAACCUACUCUCGUGAGAGUAGCUGAAGGUACUGUACGAAUAAGCACCGGCUAACUCCGUG